UUUUUCUUUUUUGUGAUGGUUGUUCUAGACUGUGAUAUACAACCUUAACUUUUCAUAUGCUUCUUAGUAUUGUAACCACUUCAUGUACUUUGAGCGGGUAUCUUGGCCUCUCUGAACUUGUUUCUUAUAAACAAUAAGAAACGUAUGGGUAAAAAAUAAUGGGUUAUUUGACUAUUAAAUGAGCUAAUGCAUAUAAAGCAAGUAACAUGCUGCCAAAAGCAUAAUAAGCAGGCAAUACCUAUUUACCAUCACUACUAGCAGUACUGUUGUUACUACCACUACUGGUCUGGUGGCAGCUGUUGCUAUUACUUUUUAUUAGCAUUUGACCUCCUGGGGCCACAAGGGAGCCAUAUUGAGUAUCUGCAGUAGCUUGAUCCAUUUGGCCAUGUUUUCUCACCUACUGUCAGUCACCCAUUCCUCUAGAUGGCCUGUUCCAUCAAUGACAGUUUGUCUCCACUGCCCCUUCCUUGCCCAGCCUGGCCAUUCGGUGCCUACUCUUCAGCCUGUUCCUGUAUCCAGUACAGCCAAACCAGCUGACCACAGCCAGUCCCUGCCCCACCCCUUGCCUGAUCCUUAUCACAAAGUCUGGCUUUAUUUUUCAACAUUACAAUGUCUAUUGUCCUGAGUGAAGUGAUCUGAGGCCAUGGUCCCACAGGCCUCCUGCUACCUUCAAAUACAUACUUCCCGGCAUGAGAGGACUUCUCACACAUUGGUCUCUGCCUCAAUUUAAAGGGGGCAGCCCCUGUCAGUCCUGGCCUCUCAUUUUGCUAAGAGGUAUCAACUCUCAUGCACUAUUCCUCCUUUUCUCACUUUCAGUAAUGGCCUCAGCACCUUGCAGGGAUUCCAGCCUCAGAUAACUCCCCUUCCCACAUUCAGCACCAGCCAGACAGGGAGAAAGUGCUCAGGUCAGCCCUGCUCCAGAUCACCUGGACAGUUAUUCUAAAUGUUCUUUUGGGUGUGGAAUCCCAGUUUUGAGAUGAGGAUGGGCUCAUGAGUCUGGAUGGUUCAAACACCAGAGACAUUAGGAAGAGAUCUAUGCAGGAAUUCAGGUGAACUUGGAUCCCUGCAAGAGGAUUUCUCAUAAAUUGCCAACAAUCAGUGAUGAAAUGCUUAGUUGCUAUUUGAAGUUUUGUUGAAAGCCACUGACAUGGGGGCCAUGAGUUGGUAGAACUUUCUCUCUUAGGGUUCUCUUCCUAAGUGGGGGGUUUCUAUUUGAGGGAUCUACCCCAAUGCUCCUCCCAGUUAACAUCAAGCUCACUUGUUAAAAAGCAGAUGAUGCUGUCCCUUAUGUGAAGCUCUUCUAUGGCUUCUCAUUUUUCUCACAGGCGUUACCUAUGUCUCUAGCUUCCUGUAGUAUGUCCUCUGCCCAGGUUUUCCAUCUGCUCCUGAGAAGCACUGCUGAUACGUAAACCCCUCCAAGACAGGAGCUGUCACCGUAUGAUCUUGUGUACUGCUGUAAUCCCUGGCAGCUCACUUUGUUGGUGCUUAAAAUGUCUUUUGGGAUGAAUGAAUGUCCCCACAUCCACUAUCAGUGUCAACAGCUGUGGUCUUCUCAUGGGGGUUAUUCUCCCUUUACUACUAAUAAAGUCUUCAGUACCCAUCUUGGAGUUCUUUCACUAGCUUUUAUAGGUGUGUUUUGGUUGGUUUGUUGUAUUUUAACAUUUUGACCAUCCUUUUAAAACUGAGAAAGGUAGACUGUCCUUUAAUCAAAUGUGUUACAUAGAAUUCAGUGUGUAUGUCUAAGAUA
rnacentral:lncRNA from 1 species